rnacentral:rRNA from 1 species
GAUGAACGCUAGCGGCAGGCUUAACACAUGCAAGUCGAGGGGUAUAGUUUUUCGGAACUAGAGACCGGCGCACGGGUGCGUAACGCGUAUGCAAUCUACCUUUUACAGGGGGAUAGCCCAGAGAAAUUUGGAUUAAUACCCCAUAGUAUAAUGAGUUGGCAUCAACACAUUAUUAAAGUCACAACGGUAAAAGAUGAGCAUGCGUCCCAUUAGCUUGAUGGUAAGGUAACGGCUUACCAUGGCUACGAUGGGUAGGGGUCCUGAGAGGGAGAUCCCCCACACUGGUACUGAGACACGGACCAGACUCCUACGGGAGGCAGCAGUGAGGAAUAUUGGUCAAUGGGCGCAAGCCUGAACCAGCCAUGCCGCGUGCAGGAUGACGGUCCUAUGGAUUGUAAACUGCUUUUGUACAGGAAGAAACACUCCUUCGUGAAGGAACUUGACGGUACUGUAAGAAUAAGGAUCGGCUAACUCCGUGCCAGCCGCCGCCGUAAUAC